rnacentral:lncRNA from 1 species
CUCUUACACCUUUAAUGUAAAACCCCAAGUUGCAACUCAGUUUUGCAAACAUUUAAAAGGCAAACAGAGUAUUUUGCCUUUUUUAGCAUUUAUAAGGAAGGAAACCAUAUUAAGGUUAUGAUUAAACUUACACAAUUAAAAUUUGCAAACAACCAAAUUAAACUAGGAUAAUGAUAAUUUACUCAGAAGUAAGUUGAAAUAAAUUUGAUUUUCCUAGUGUGCUUGUUGCCGUUCAGCAGAUAUAGUGAACUGAGAUAACAAUGCAGACAGUCCAAGUCCACUUCAGCCUAAGUGUACAAAAAACAACAAAAAUAUGACAUAGAAAAGAACGUGAGUGCUG